GAUGAAGAACGCAGCGAAAUGCGAUACUUGGUGUGAAUUGCAGAAUCCCGUGAACCAUCGAGUCUUUGAACGCAAGUUGCGCCCGAAGCCACUAGGCCGAGGGCACGCCUGCCUGGGCGUCACACGCCGUUGCCCCCCCAUCUACUCCUUCGGGAUUGCGGGGGGGCGGAUGAUGGCCUCCUGUGCGCCUAGCCGCGCGGUUGGCAUAAAUACCAAGUCCUCGGCGACGCACGCCACGACAAUCGGUGGUUGCGAAACCUCGGUUGCCCGUCGUGUGCGUUCGUCGCGCAGCGAGGGCUCGAAAAAAUGCUCGGCUCCGGCUGGGCUUUCAACGCGACCCCAGGUCAGGCGGGGUUACCCGCUGAAUUUAAGCAUAUCAAUAAGCGGAGGA
rnacentral:misc_RNA from 1 species